UACGUAGGGUGCGAGCGUUGUCCGGAAUUAUUGGGCGUAAAGCGCACGUAGGCGGAUUGCUAAGUCAGGGGUGAAAUCCUGGAGCUCAACUCCAGAACUGCCUUUGAUACUGGCGAUCUUGAGUCCGGGAGAGGUGAGUGGAACUGCGAGUGUAGAGGUGAAAUUCGUAGAUAUUCGCAAGAACACCAGUGGCGAAGGCGGCUCACUGGCCCGGUACUGACGCUGAGGUGCGAAAGCGUGGGGAGCAAACAGG
rnacentral:rRNA from 1 species